rnacentral:ncRNA from 2 species
AUGGUACGACAAGCGCCAGAGCUUGCGUGAUGAACGAGCUGUUCGGAUUGCUGAAGCUGUUCAUACCGUAAGCUGACGAGGUGAAGGUGUUCGAAGUAUUCGGCGGGGACCUUCCGGUAUAGGGCAUGCCAACCGUAAGCCGUUACGCAAAAGGAUUGGGCGACCGAUUCCACAAACGUACGGCGGGCUGCCGC